GCCCCGGUGGCACAAUCGGUUAGCGCGCCGUACUUAUAAUGCGGAGGUUGUGAGUUCGAUCCUCACUCGGGGCA
rfam:Macrostomum lignano uti_cns_0045800, whole genome shotgun sequence.